UCAACUGUUGCAGAAGAAAUCUUCAGACUCUGUGAAGGAACCAUCGUCCAGUACGAGCAGGAGCUCUGUCGUCAGCGCAGACUGCUGGAUAUCUGCUGGAAACCACAGAUUCAGCUCCAACAGAUAGAAGAAAUCUUCAGACUCUGUGAAGGAACCAUCGUCCAGUACGAGCAGGAGCUCUGUCGUCAGCGCAGACUGCUGGAUAUCUGCUGGAAACCACAGCUUCAGCUCCACCAGAUAGGUAUGUUCACUUCUUCUUCAUUUCUUAGCCGAUUUUUACAAAAAAGGGUUCAAAUUAAAGCUUAGAAAAUUAUUGAUCUUGUGGUAUAUUUAAUUAUUGCUUAUCUAUGAAGAUUAAUUUGUAAAUAGAGCAAAGAUUGUGUUUUUUACUGCUACAGAUAAUGGAUUGCUGUCAAAUUAACAGCUUCUAAAUAUUCGUUUUUUUUUUAUUUUGCCUCUUUGCUAAAAUCUGUAUAACGGCUGGUAAAUGCUUUUCACCCAAGCCCCAGAGAUGAGGGAGAUCGAUGAAGUUUAAUAGCAUGACUGAUAAAGUUUAGUAACAGGGUCUUUCCCUAUUAAAAACAUCUAAAAGUGCUAAAUAAUAAUAAUAAUUACAAUAAUAAAAACACCAUUUACCACAUUUUCAAAUGAAACUAAAACUUUUAUUAUUUUUGGAUUACAUACAUGGUAAAUGUUCAGCUGUUUCUGUGACUGGGAUGAAGGCUGUCCCUCAUUAACCUGAGACGAGGAACAUAAGGGAUGUUUUUUUAAAUUUAUAAUAAAAUAGAUCAAACAUCACAGAUCAGGAGAGUUAAGCAGGUUGCCCGCACUGCCCGCUGCCUGCAGCACCUCUUUCUCUAGCUGUCAAAAGGUAACACUGCGGUGAAGUUAGUUUUACGUUGGAUAUUCGACAGACAUUCGGUCAGGGUAAACCUCGCACGCUCACGGGGUCCGGGUCCAGUGCAACUCUGAGAACAGUGCUCUAACAUUUUGAGAGCACCAG
rnacentral:lncRNA from 1 species